AUUGAACGCUGGCGGAAUGCUUUACACAUGCAAGUCGAACGGCAGCACGGACUUCGGUCUGGUGGCGAGUGGCGAACGGGUGAGUAAUACAUCGGAACGUGCCCAGUCGUGGGGGAUAACGUAGCGAAAGCUACGCUAAUACCGCAUACGAUCUACGGAUGAAAGCGGGGGAUCGCAAGACCUCGCGCGAUUGGAGCGGCCGAUGGCAGAUUAGGUAGUUGGUAGGGUAAAGGCCUACCAAGCCGACGAUCUGUAGCUGGUCUGAGAGGAUGAUCAGCCACACUGGGACUGAGACACGGCCCAGACUCCUACGGGAGGCAGCAGUGGGGAAUUUUGGACAAUGGACGCAAGUCUGAACCAGCCAUUCCGCGUGCAGGAUGAAGGCCCUCGGGUUGUAAACUGCUUUUGUACAGAACGAAAAGGCUCUGGUUAAUACCUGGGGCUCAUGACGGUACUGUAGGAAUAAGCACCGGCUAACUACGUGCCAGCAGCCGCCGUAA
rnacentral:rRNA from 1 species